AGCCAGCCCUGAUGAGCCCCCAGGGAGGGACUGCCCUGCAAUCUGUGAGGUCACAGGGGAUAUCAGUUAAAGAGGAGGCAGAGGGAGGAGGAGAUUGACUCCAAUCCAGAGAGGCGGGCUGGAUCGAAGUGCUUCUGUGGACUUGCAAUCCCUGCCCAGCCCUGGACCCAGUUCCUCGAGCCACGAUCCCCCCGUCUCACGGGGACCCCGUCUCCGACUGCCGCUGUUCCUGUGUCCAAAUUCCUCAUCCUGUUACCAAGACUCGUCAGUGCCGCUUGAUGUCAAGGUGACGUCUGGGACUCGUGACGUGAGGCAGCAACCGCCAACCGCCACCCGAUCUUGGCUUGAGCCUCCUCCCAGCGGCCGGGUCAGCGCCCUGCACCGGACCUGCCGCCUUCCGUUCCACAGCCUCUGGACCAACGCGAGCCAGGAGCAGGGUCCAGUUUGAAGUCUGUCCCGCGGGAGCGUGGCUGUCUCGACCACUGCCAGGAUUCCCCUUGGAGCGGACUGACCGGCAUGAGCCGCAGGACGCCCCCCAGGCUGCUGGACCUGGCCAUCCAGAGCGGGCUGCAGGAUGAGGACUCCGUCCUUGCCGCGCUGGACUGGCUGCCCAGGGAGCUCUUCCCACCCCUGUUCGUGUCAGCGUUUGCCAGGGGCCACGGGGAGGUCGUGAAGGCCAUGAUUUUGCAGUGGCCCUUCCCCCAGCUGGCCCUGGGGGCGCUGAUGAGGAAGGUGGACUAUCCCCAGGCCAUGGUCACCGCCGCCAUGGAGGGUGACGAGACCCUAAGAUCCCAGACUGUUCGGCACAGCAGAUGCAGGCUGAGAAGUGUGGAUUUCAGCGAUCAGACGGCUACCAACUUCUGGGACGUGUGGGCCGGGCCCCAGUGUACAGGCACAGGCCCCGUGAGUAGCCAGGAAUUGUCCCCAGACUGACCGCGGCGAUGGGCGUGCAAUCCUUCUUGCCUUGCUGUAUCGAACGACGGAGCAAUGGCAUUUUAUGUUAUGUGUGUCAGGCACCAAUAAAGUUGUGAGACAGACAGA